GCCAUGGAUGGGCAUUUGGUGAUGAUG
rnacentral:piRNA from 1 species